rnacentral:rRNA from 1 species
GACAGGGGGUGCAAACGUUGUUCGGAAUUACUGGGCGUAAAGCGCGUGUAGGCGGCUAUGUAAGUCGGGCGUGAAAUCCCACGGCUCAACCGUGGAAGUGCACUCGAAACUGCAUAGCUAGAGUCCUGGAGAGGAAGGUGGAAUGCUUGGUGUAGAGGUGAAAUUCGUAGAUAUCAAGCGGAACACCGGUGGCGAAGGCGGCCUUCUGGACAGUGACUGACGCUGAGACGCGAAAGCGUGGGGAGCAAACAGGG